AUCCAGCUGACGAGUCCCAUAUUGGACGAAACGCGCGUUCUGUAU
rnacentral:hammerhead_ribozyme from 1 species